GCAUUUUCAGCUCAUGCCUCAGUGCUCUGGGAGGGUUUAUAUUCCAGGAGGUUUAACACUUCAUGACUGACAGCUGACCUUCAUCACAACAGACUCCAAAGAAACAUGACUUUGAUCAGUCUCAGCAUCUUGCUCUUCAUCCUCACUCACGAAUGCAGAGGACAAGUGACUGUGACUCAGACUCCAGAGCUGAUAUCAGCUUCUUCAGGACAGACAGUCACUAUAAACUGUAAAACCAGCAGCUCUGUGUAUACUGAUAGUAAUGGCCCCCGCAUGGCCUGGUACCAGCAGAGACCUGGAGAAGCUCCUAAACUUUUGAUCUAUUUUGCAAGAACCCGUAUCUCUGGGAUUCCGUCUCGAUUCAGUGGCAGCGGAUCUAGUACUGACUUCACUCUGACCAUCAGUGGAGUCCAGGCUGAAGAUGCAGGAGAUUAUUACUGUCAGAGUGAACAUAACAUUGGUGGUAGCUGGCCGUACACUUUCGGCGGCGGGACCAGACUGGAUAUUGGCAGUAACACAGCCCCCACCCUGACGGUCCUGCCCCCCUCCGGUGUGGAGGUGUCCAGCAAGAACACGGCCACCCUGAUGUGCCUGGCCAACAAGGGCUUCCCCUCCGACUGGAAGCUGAGCUGGAAGGUGGACGGUAAAAGCAAAGCCGCGGAGACGAGCCGCGGGCUCCUGGAGAAGGACGGCCUGUACAGCUGGAGCAGCAGCCUGAGCCUCACUGCGGACGAGUGGAAGAAGGCGGGCUCAGUGGUCUGUGUGGCCAAUCAGGGCUCCCAGGCUGCUGUCACUCAAACGCUGAAGAGAGCCGACUGUUCAGAGUAGAUGAGCUCAGCGUCACCUCAGACUUGAGCUUUGCAUGAUCCAUGAGUGAAUAUCUUUACUGAUGUUUUAUAGGCUUUUGUGUCUCCUUGUAUUAUCUUGUGUGUU